AUGCAAGGCAGCAGACCUAUGCAGGGGAAGACUACCAAAGAGACUGUUCGAAAGUCGACAUCAAAUGCAUCGGCCUCUGCUAAGAUGACACAAACCACAAGAGAAUGGUCGUAGGACAUCAUGAAGUAAAUGGCCGGCACCACUCCAAUUGGAAUGAACGCCAUAGAUCAAGCGGGAAUUAAUUAAGCAGGAUUUUCGAGUCUGCCUGGAGGAUCUUCGGCGAGGAUUUCAAUCUUAUUUACUGAAGUAUUGCAUUGUUAGCGAUCUUCUGCACCAUCUUGGCGAGUGGAAAGUAUUAUAAAACUACAACAAGCCUACAAAUCAUCUCUCGAAUGGAUUGACUCCAGGAACGCGUGCCGCAAUCUGCACUUUUGAAAACGUCAACCGUCCACCGCGCCUUUUCACGGGCGGGAAUAACCAGUGCUCGACGUGAGAUUGACGCUUCGUCUUGUCUUGAUUUCACUUGGUCUUGUCUGAGCUGCAAAGACUUGGUGGUGCAGUUAUGACUUUUGUGAGUUCAUCUUGUGACAAUUUGGGAGUUUUGUGCUGGAGCUCAGCAGUCUGCAAGCCAACAUUCAACAACACCGUCGUGCGAACAACUUUAUUUACCGUGUGGAACGUCAUCCCACCU